rnacentral:rRNA from 1 species
AUUGAACGCUGGCGGCAGGCUUAACACAUGCAAGUCGAGCGGGCGAGGUUGCUUCGGUAACUGAGCUAGCGGCGGACGGGUGAGUAAUGCUUAGGAAUCUGCCUAUUAGUGGGGGACAACAUUCCGAAAGGGAUGCUAAUACCGCAUACGUCCUACGGGAGAAAGCAGAGGCUCUUUAUGACCUUGCGCUAAUAGAUGAGCCUAAGUCGGAUUAGCUAGUUGGUGGGGUAAAGGCCUACCAAGGCGACGAUCUGUAGCGGGUCUGAGAGGAUGAUCCGCCACACUGGGACUGAGACACGGCCCAGACUCCUACGGGAGGUAGCAGUGGGGAAUAUUGGACAAUGGGGGGAACCCUGAUCCAGCCAUGCCGCGUGUGUGAAGAAGGCCUUUUGGUUGUAAAGCACUUUAAGUGGGGAGGAGGCUUACCUGGUUAAUACCUGGGCUAAGUGGACGUUACCCACAGAAUAAGCACCGGCUAACUCUGUGCCAGCCGCCGCCGUAA